GGAGGAAGAAUUCAAAGACGGCAACGUCUCCAAAAGGCCACGCGAGCCAACGCCAUCGACGACACCGAGGGAUUUGAAAAAGACAUUGCCAAACCCACCGACUCCAAGUGCCAACUCAGAUGAUGGCAGGCACUGACAAGGAGCUGGGCAUAACAAGACCAAGUGGAGCUCACCAUGUGGACAUGACAAGACAUCCUCACCUUGGUGGACACACUGCAAGAGGCAGAACUUUUUAAACAGAAACCAGGUCGCACAUCUACUGCAUUCCCCGGCUUCCGAAAUGACUUGUUGGCAAAGCUCGAUCACAAGGCACUGUGGACGUGGAUGAGCAGCAAACUGAAUGAAUGGUGCAGUGUCCUUUGAGUUAUUUGUACUGUUUGUCUAGCCAGGUAACACCCAUGCUGCCUUACAGGCGACCGUCAAUGUUGGUACGGCGUCUUCAAAAAGGUGAAUGCCAAAAUUAUUAAAAUAAGUUUUACUUAAUUACUUUCCUAUUUUCUUGCUUUGAAAUAGUUUGUUAUUCUUGUUUGUUAUUCUAAGUCAUUGUCCUUCAUUAAAAUCAUUUCCUUUA